rnacentral:rRNA from 1 species
AACCUCUGCAAUGCACGAAAGUGCGACAGGGCCACCCCGAGUGCUAGACGCUGAGUCUAGCUUUUCCCGAGUGUAGUAAGCUCGGGGAAUAAGCGGGGGGCAAGCCUGGUGUCAGCCGCCGCGGUAAUACCAGCUCCGCGAGUGGUCGGGACGAUUAUUGGGCCUAAAGCGUUCGUAGCCGGUCUAGUAAGUCUCUAGUUAAACUUCAAGGCUUAACCUUGAGAUCGCUGGGGAUACUGCUAGACUAGGGGGCGGGAGAGGUUGAGGGUACUUCGCGGGUAGGGGCGAAAUCCUAUAAUCCGCGAAGGACCACCAGUGGCGAAGGCGCUCAACUGGAACGCGCCCGACGGUGAGGGACGAAAGCCAGGGGAGCAAAGGGG